rnacentral:rRNA from 1 species
GAUGAACGCUAGCGGCAGGCUUAACACAUGCAAGUCGAGGGGUAUGCUUCUUCGGAAGCAGAGACCGGCGCACGGGUGCGUAACGCGUAUGCAAUCUACCUUUUACAGAGGGAUAGCCCAGAGAAAUUUGGAUUAAUACCUCAUAGUAUUAUAGAAUGGCAUCAUUUUAUAAUUAAAGUCACAACGGUAAAAGAUGAGCAUGCGUCCCAUUAGCUAGUUGGAAGGUAACGGCUCACCAAGGCUACGAUGGGUAGGGGUCCUGAGAGGGAGAUCCCCCACACUGGUACUGAGACACGGACCAGACUCCUACGGGAGGCAGCAGUGAGGAAUAUUGGACAAUGGGCGCAA